AAAGAGAAUGAAAAAGAGCAAAAAGAGAUUGAGAGUGAAAAAGAAAUUGAAGAAAGAAGAGAAAAUGAAUUAGAAAAAGAAACAAAAGAAAAAGACGUGGAAAGGGUAGUGAGGAAUGUUUCCACUAACCAAGAUAUGAAUUUUUCUUGUGUUGCUACUUUUCAGGUUCCCGAAAGAUCGAAAGAUAACUUUCAACUUCAAUACCUCUCAAAUGAAAGAUGCUUUCAUACGAUCAACUUAGGCAAAGAUGAAAUCACACUACAUGAUCCCGAAGGUAAGCGAGGUAAGGAAAUUUUAGAAACCGAGUCCAGUGCAGAUUUGAAAAUUAUUGAUAAAACUUUUGGUGACUUUGUUCUUAAAAGAUCCCCUCAUUUUGAUCCGAUUAAUUGUUACUCUUCGAUUGUGGUUGAUAAAGUCAUUACGAAAAGAAGCGUGAUUUUGUUAUUCUCUUGAUUUACCUUGUGUAAAAUCCUCGAAUUUGUCCAAAUCUGUUUUGGAGAAUAAGGUAACAAAAUUUUCCAAAUUUGUUUUCAAUUUAUAUUCGUGCCUUAAACAGUUUAUGUGGUUGUACAUGAAGUUUGAGUUCCAUUUGACAAAGGUUAACUCAACAACGGAGAUUCGACUACACUACGCCCCCGAUGAGCGAAGGUUUGUUUUAAAUGAAAAAGGUAAAAUCGACCCUUAUUCUUUUGCUUAUCAAGGUAAGAUGCUUGAAACCUUUGAAACACUUUUGUACUCCUCGGAUAGCGACAAAGAUCGUGUUGAUGAACACUUAGAUCGUGUUCUGUUAUACUUAUGAUUGGACUACAAGCUUGUUUCCGUUGCUAUUUACUAUCUCAUGGAUAUUAUUUUCAGUGGACUCAAUUGCCAUUAGUCCCGUUCGAUAGAGAAAAGUCGAGUUCAUUUGAUUUUUCAGAUUCGAGGACGAAUCUUUUUGAGGAAGGGGGAAUGAUACGAGUCAAAAAAGCCCAAAUUCUUGAAGGUGAGGCCCAAUAAGCAAAUUCCCAGCCCAAUCAAGAAAUCCAUCCAUACUUAGUUGAAAAUCAGGCCAAAUUGUCAAAGUGGCCCAAGUUGUAAAGUUUUAUUUUUAUUUUUAUUUUUUUAUUUAUUUACUUAGUUUAAAUUUUUAUGUCAAUAUUCAGUCCAAGAGUCCCAGAUAAAAUGACCUUUGACCGAAUUUCCAUAUUAAAAUAAUUAGGAGUUUUUUUUAUUUUAGUUUUCUAAUUAGAUUAGGACUAGUUAUAAGGCCUAGUUAAAGGCAUGGCUGUCCACCUUGUUAAACACUUAUCAUUAUUAUUAAAAUUUUAGAUUUGUUGAGAGCAGAAUUUUCUUUGAGUUUUCUCCAAGAUUUCUCUCUUGAGUUUUCUUUAGAAGUUGUUUUAACAAUCUUUUGAUUGUGGGAGCCAUCUUCAACCUUCUUCUUGCCAUUGAUAUUCUUUGGAGGGGAGAUUAGAGCCGUUUGAAGGGAGUUGUGAGAUCUUUCGAGAUUUCAAGGCUUCUUAGGACUUAUCUUUUAAUUUCUUACUGUCAAUUCUUUCUUUAUUUCUACUUGUGCUGAAUCAUUAUCUAAUCUAUUUUCUGUUCUUAUUGUGUUUUCAGCCUUUUUCAAUCUUAAGGAAUCAGCCCAAAAAUCCCCAAUUUCUAGGGUUUUUCCAUACUCUUUUUGGGUGAAAUUAGAUUGUCGAAAUUUGGGGAAAACUAUCUUGGUGUUCAAUUGGGCAGAAUCACAAUCUCCUUGAGGGUUUCAAGAACCCUAACACUUAUUUCUAUUCUCAAUUUGAUUCUUUGCUGAUUUGGGGAUUUUAUUUCAGAUCUGGAAAUUCAAAGUUCUAAUCUUUUAAUUUUUCUGUUUCGUUUCGGAUCUGAUUGUUUAGGGUUUUCGUAGGAGUUUCCCGUGACUUGGCAACUCGAUCUUGGUCCGCGCGCAACCCUAUAUCAAAACCACUCAUCUAAACCCCUCUCAAAGCUUCCGCAACCCUUAGCCUAAAUCACCCAAUUUUGACAACUCCAACUACUCCUCGUAGACGAUCGGGCAACUUUGCGAAACGACUCGAUUAACCUGGGCCAGAUUACAUCAGCUUGGCAAGCUUUUAUAGGCAUUUUGUUCCAAAUUUUUGCACCGUCGCUGCUCCAUUAACUAGUGUUAUUAAGAAAAAUUUAGCUUCCUUUUGGAGUGAUGAACAAGAGCAUUCUUUUAAUUUACUUAAAGAUCUUUUAACUAACGCCCCAUUACUUGUCUUGCCAGAUUUCAACAAGACCUUUGAAAUAGAGUGCGAUGCCUCGUGUUUAAGCAUUGGAGCCGUGUUAAUGCAAGAAGGUCGUUCGGUAGCCUAUUUUAGUGAAAAGUUGAAUGGGGCAACACUUAAUUAUCCUACCUAUGACAAGGAGAUGUACGCCUUGAUUCGAGCAUUGGAAACGUGGCAGCAUUAUCUGUGGCCUAAGGAAUUCGUUAUUCAUACGGACCACGAGGCGUUAAAACAUCUAAAGGGUCAACACAAGUUAAAUAAACGACAUGCCAAGUGGAUGGAGUUCCUAGAAUCUUUUCCGUAUGUUAUCAAAUACAAGCAAGGUAAAGACAAUGUCGUAGCAGAUGCGUUGUCCAGAAGGUAUGUUCUUUUAAAUUCGCUUGAAUCAAAAUUAAUGGGAUUUUUGUAUUUGAAAGACUUAUAUGAAAAUGAUCCUGACUUUGCCGAAAUGCACAAAGCUUGUGAAACUGGAUUGUGUGAGAAAUUUUAUCGUUUAAAUGAUUAUCUUUUUCGAGAAGGAAAACUCUGUAUUCCUCAAGGCUCUAUACGGAAUGUUUUAGUGAAUGAGGCGCAUAGCGGAGGCCUCAUGGGUCAUUUCAGAGUUGCAAAGACAUUGGCCACUUUGCGCAAGCAUUUCUAUUGGCCAAAGAUGAAACGAGACGUGGAGCGAGUUUGUGACUGAUGUAUCUCUUGCAAAAGGGCCAAGUCGAAGGUCAAGCCACAUGGGUUGUACACUCCUUUACCUAUUCCCGAAGGGCCUUGGAUCGACAUAUCAAUGGACUUUGUUCUAGGACUUCCUAGAACUAAAAAUGGCAAAGACUCAAUAUUUGUGGUUGUAGAUCGGUUUUCCAAAAUGGCACACUUUACUGCUUGCAAUAAAACUGAUGAUGCUUCGCAUGUUGCUAACUUGUUUUUCAGGGACGUGGUACGUUUACAUGGAGUGCCUAGGAAAAUCAUCUCCAAUCGAGAUGCAAAAUUUUUGAGUCAUUUCUGGAGAACACUUUGCGGAAAGAUAGGCACAAAGCUUUUGUUCUCGACCACUUGCCAUCCUCAAAUGGACGGGCAAAUUGAAGAAGUGAAUUGAGUCUUGUCGACGUUGUUACGAGCCAUCGUUUGAAAGAACCUCAAAACAUGGGAGGAAUGCCUACCGCACUAGAGUUUGUGAUGCGACCCCGGCCUCGUUGAUGAAUCUGAGUCGUUGUUGUGCCCGAUCGUGAAUUGGAGUAAUAUUAAGGUUUGUCGAAAAUAGGUUCAGAAAGAAGAGAUAAAAGCUUAAUUUAGUUCAAAAAUGGUGAUGGAAUGUAUUGGGGUUGAUAUGUGAUCGAAAACAAAGUAUUCAAGUUGAACCAACACAAUAUAAGUGUGUUAACCCGAGACUUAUAUGAAUACUUAUGUAUGUUUGUAUGGAUGGAAAAUGAAUAAAAUAGAACCUCGACCCACAAUCAAAGAUGAUAGGAACCUCGGUAUAAUUUGAACGCCACACUUUGGGUGCAAAGUGAUAAGUUCGAUAAAGAAAGACGAGUUGACGCCACAAGGGAUACUUGAUAAGUCAGACGAGUCUUUGGAGAACAAUGAGAGUUGAAAACAAACUCACAAAGUAAUCAGAUUUCAUAUAAGUUCAAAAAUAUCUUGUCUAACCAAAAAAAAUGAUUACAAAACAACUAUUUAUACUAAUAUUGAAUGUCAAACCGAAUGGUCACAAAAGGUAGAUAAAUGGACAGCUUCUAGAUGGUGUUAACUCAGCUGAAAACAUUCAUGGAACGUCUUCAAUGCUUGGCUGACCAUUGAGCUACACGAACAGCCUUGAAAGGUGUCUUUGAUGCGCACGAGGAGCCUUGAAUUGAAAAAGGUAUGCCAGGUUCGGCCAAGGGAGUGUACAAAGCCACUAGUGGUGUCUUCCAAGGAACUUUGAAGAGUGAAACGGCAGCCCUUAAAUGCAUGUCUCCUUUGAAGAAUCCUAGACCUUGGGGACGGCAAUGGCAUCAACAAUCUUUAAUGUCCUUCAAUAAUCAGCCUUGGAAAUUCGGAUGGCCAGCAGCAGCUUUAAAUGACGUCUUGAGCACACAAAUAGCUCCUAAUUACUUUCAAUCAACUUAAAUGAGCUGGACUAAAUUUGCAAGUCCUUUGGUGUGUUCAAGACAGCAAUAAGCAUCAGCUUUGGAACCUGAAAACGGCCUUUAAUGCUCCUUGGAAGCAUGAAACGUUCAGCCUUGAAUAAUUAAGCAAUAUACAUGCUUUGGCCGAAUGGUCACUUGGAAAUUCCCCAAACAACAGCUCUUUGCUGUACCCGAAGCAAUACCAGCCUUAAUGCUAUUCAAUAACGUCCCCCCUUGCAUGUUUUCAUUAAUGCCGUCCAUGCAUGGGGACAUCUCAUUAAAUCCAUGUCUUUGCUUCCCUUUAAUGCCGUUCCAUGCAUGGGAACAUCUCCUUAAUUCGUGGCUUUGCUGCACAUUAAAUCAGCAAGCAGCUUCUUUAAUUUCGUCCAUUAAAUGGCCACAUGAAAAAGCACAAGCAACUCCUUUAAUGCCGUCCAUGUACCUGCAUGCAUUGAAUCAGCCUUUAAAUCACGUUUUAGACAAAUUAAAAUGGUCAACAGACAUAUUAAAUUCGGCAGCCACAAUUAACUUCAACUGGACACCAUUUAAAACAUGCAUUAAAUUCGGCCAGAAACAUACAUUAAAUUCGGCCAAAGACAUACAUUAAAUUCGUCUGGAAAAUUAAUUGAAAACAUGAUAUGAGCUCGCCCAUGAAGAUAGGUGCCGAAUCCAUGGAGUUGCCUUUGGGGCCAAUUACUCGAGCACGUGCCAAGAAGUUCCAAGAUGCUGUAGCAAGCUAUAUUGCUCGAUUGUGGAGUGAUGGGUUGAUUGCCCAUAAAACGCCCAGCUCAACUAGCUUGAUUCGCAAUUUCUUACAAGCUGAUUUUAGCUUGUGUUAGCUCAAUUUAGCUCAAUUCGGCACUUAAUUAGUUCAAGGAGCUGAUUAAAUUUAUUUUCAAUAAAUUUAAUUAGUUGUGUUAGUUUAGAAUCAGCUCAAAUCACUUAAUUAAAUAAAUGUGUCUUAAUCUGGACAUUUUUUUAAUUCAGCUUAUUAAAUAUGUUUUAUAUUAGUACAUGCCUUUAAUAUGUCCAUAUUAAGUCAUAAACUAAAUGUGUCUAGUUUAAUUACAAAGUUUUAAUGUGUCUUGACUAAGACAAAUUUAUUAGUGGCUGCUAAUUAAUUUGUCUUAGCCGAAUUAAUGUGCAGAAUUUUAAUAUGUCCAGCUGCUGAUUUCAUGAGUAUUAAACUUGUCUUAACCACAUUUAUUUGAUGUUUUUCAGCUGGCUUAAUGGCAAAGAAAGCUCAUAAAGAAGGAGCAUGUACUUGGGCACAUGCAUGGACGGCAUUUAAAGUGCAGCUGCCUUGUGUUUCCAGCUGACUUUUCGUGCAGCUCAAUGGACUUCUAGCUGCUGUUUUGAGCUUCUCCAAGGGCCAAUUUCGUGGAGAGAAAUGGCCAAAGAAUGCCUCAUAAAUUCCAGCAGCCAAUUCAUGUGGAGGCUACUCAUAUUCGGCCAAAGAAGCAUAAUUUUUGAAGUUGUCCAUUUCUCUUCUCCAUAGCAGCAAUUAAGCUCUUUUAAAACAUUAAUUGAUGCAACCUUAGCCCGGGAAAUUACUACCGAAUCCAUUGAGCUGCCACGAGGACCAAUAACUCGAUCACGAGCUAAGAGAUUUCGAAAUGCAAUAGCAAGCUCUGUGGAACGAGCUUGGGAAGAGGGAGUGGCCGGAUUUGAUAGUCGUGCUUCAAACCGUUCAAAAGGCGUUACUUGCAAUUUAUUGCAAGCUGAAUUUGUUUCUUUUAAUUAACUUGUUUUACUUUAAUAAAUAAGUUGCUGAUCAAUUAAUUUAACUUAUCUUAAAGUUUUAAUACAUGAGUUAGUUAUUGAACUUUAUUAAAUAAGAUGCUUCUUAAUUGAUCUAGUUCCUAGGAUUAUUUAUUGAUGCAUAAAUUAAGUUCUUUAAAUUAUGCUUCUUUAAUUAAACUAGUUGCUGGAAUAAUUAUUGCAUAUAUGUUUUAGUUCAUUUAUUUAAGUUAGUUUAAUAUGUGUUAUGAUUAAUAAGUGUUUUAAUGUGUUUAAUAAACUCAUUUUAAUGUGUUUAUUGCAGGUGACUUUUUAGCUUAUAGUGGUUACAAUUCAAGGCUGUUACACAUUUAAUAAGUGGCUGUUCAAGUUCUUUUGAGUUACAAUUAAAGGGGCUGUUAAAAAAAGGAGCUUAAAGAUCAUUAAAAGGAGUUUUUAAAGAGCAUUUUAUGCCCUUUAAAAUUCAGCAGCAACUCUUCCACUUCCAGCCGUUUUUGGAGCUUUUAAGAGAAAUUAAUCAAGCCUUUGAAUGUCAUUAAGGAGCUGGUAAGAGAUGGUGUCUAUUCAACUAGCCAAGAACAACUCAAGAGUCAUUUUCUAAGCCAUUAAAGACAUUCAAAUCAGCUGAAUUAAAGUGAUUUUAUGGAAGGAGUUAUUUGGCUCAAAGAAUAAGAAAAGACAUCAGUUUUUUAUGGCACAUUAAGUGGAUGUUUUUGACCAUUCGGUUACCUUGUUCUAGCAUUAUUAAUAGAUGUAAUCAGCCAUAGAGGGAACAACUUUUUUUGCUGAAUAUAGAUGAAAUACUUGAAUUGUGAGCUAUCCAAUUCUCUUUGUUCUUUCGAAAUUGAUUUGACUUAUCAAGCAUAGCUUGUGGCGUCCAUCUUUUCUUUGUUGCUGAACUUAUCACCUUUGGUGUGGCGUUCAAUAUACCUUUGGUUCCUAUCAUAGUUGAUAGUGGGUCAAGGUUCCUUUCCUGUUUCCUUUAACCGAAAACACCUAAAGACCAUUUUGAGAUUCGGGUCAACAAUUUGUUAUUGUUGGUUCAUUUUCGGUCUUAGCCAAUUAAUUUGUUAUUGUUUCCUCUUUAUUUUGUUUAUUACCUUUGUUUGAAGCCAUUAUCUCUAUUUUUUUUCAUUUUAAAACCGAAAUGAAUCCAUCCUUACUCAAUUCACGAUUGGACAACACAUACGACUCAAAACAUCACGAGACGAGUUCGUAUCAAAUUGGUAUCAGAGCUAGCGAAUUUGGUGUAAGAAUCGACGUUGUCGGCAUUAUGGUAUAGUAGUUUCUCGAAAAAAACUCAAAAAAAAUUUGAAAAAAAAAUUCGAAAAAAAACUAGUUUCCAUUCAAACUUAAAAGAUUGGAUAUCAAGUUGUGAAAAAAAAAUUUGAAAAGAAAAUUGUGAAAAAAAAUUUGAAAAAAAAAAGAGAGAGCUAGUUUUGAAAUUUAGUUUUUGUUUGCUGCCCAAAAUUUUAGUCAUUACUACCUUCUACUUUUCGCCACACCAAACAAUUACAUUUCUUUAUUUCAAGCCUACUUUCCUUUGUCCUACAAUAUUCUUUCCAAGCCCAAACAUCAAGUUUGUAAGCCGACCCACAACAAGUGCCUAUUAAGUUUAAAUAAUUCCUAAGAACUUAGAGAGGAGGAGUGAGUGGAAAGAGGCAAGAGAGUGGUGAGUUUAUUCGAGAGUAUAAAAGCCAAGGAAGUGAGAUUUCUUUGUGAGUGGAUAGUGAGAUUCUUUGUUGUGAGUUCAUUUUAAAAAAAAUAUGUCACGAAUCCGGAAAGAAAUCAAAAUGUGGAAGGAGGGUUCCGUCCCGUAAGAAAUGUUGGAGGAGGAGUGCCAGAUCUUACCCUUCAAGCAAUUAUGCGAGAGAUGGAGCGAUUAUUUGAUAGAAAACUUGAACCAAUUGAAGAUCGAUUAUAUCGAGUCGAGAGACGAGAACAACGUGAGAUGACUCCAGAAGAUGCAAGACAAGAGCGAGAACGUCCAAUUCAAGAUCCUUAUGAAGCAAGUGGACAAGAAAGUGAUCACUCAUCUGCCCAAAGUGUACGACGUCGAGGCCGUCAACGACAAUGAGGUCCUAGAGAUCGUGAACGACCAGAUGACAAUCUUAAGAAUAUCAAGAUGACAAUUCCACCAUUCCAAGGUAAGAAUGACCCUGAAGCUUAUUUGGAGUGGGAAAAGAAGAUUGAGCUUGUUUUUUAUUGCCACAACUAUUCGGAGAGUAAAAAGGUGAAACUCGUGAAAAUUGAUUUUUCUGAUUAUGCCAUAGUGUGGUGGGACCAGCUUGUAACUAGUCGACGAUGAAAUGGUGAAAGACCCAUCUCUACUUGGGGAGAAAUGAAAUCAGUCAUGCGGAAAAGAUUUAUUCCAUCAUACUACCAUCGAGAUCUUUAUCAACGACUUCAAAACCUUACUCAAGGAAAUAGAAGUGUUGAAGAUUAUUAUAAGGAGAUGGAGAUAGCGAUGAUUCGAGCUGAUAUCGAGGAGGAUCGAGAGGCAACCAUGGCUAGGUUCCUUGCGGGUUUAAACCGUGACAUUGCCAACAAGUUGAACUACAACACUAUGUUGAAGUGAUGGACAUGGUUCACAUGGCGAUUAAGGUUGAAAAGCAACUUAAGCGAAAGGAGUUAGUAGACCCUAUGCCAAUUCUUCAACCAACAAAUGGAAUCAAGGAGUCAACAAACCCCCUGUUAGAACAAAAGAGCCGACUGUAGUAGUUAAAUCAAAUCAACCUAUUGGAGAGACAAGUCGAAAUAAAAAUAAGCAAGCGCCAAAUCGCACGAGAGACAUAAGAUGUUUCAAGUGUCAAGGCCGAGGGCACAUAGCUAGUCAAUGUCCCAAUCGACGAAUUAUGGUGAUAAGAGCUGAUGGAGAAGUUGAGUCGGAGGAAGAGGAUGAAAAUGAACCUGAAAUGCCAUCCGAUGAUGAAGAUUUAGAGUUACCCGUUGAAGGAGAAAUUCUUGUGGUGAAGCGUAGCCUCAGUAUUCAAAGUGUUGAAACUGAUCAACAAAGGGAGAAUAUUUUUCACACUCGAUGCCACAUUCAAGGCAAGGUAUGUAGUAUGAUCAUUGAUGGUGGUAGCUGUACUAAUGUAGCUAGUAUUAUGUUGGUGGAAAAGAUAGGUUUGGCUACAACUAAACAUCCAACUCCAUACAAGUUGCAAUGGCUAAAUGAUGGAGGUGAGCUGAAAGUAACAAAACAAGCUGUGGUGGCAUUUUCUAUUGGAAAGUACCAAGAUGAAGUGGUGUGCGAUGUAGUUCCUAUGCAUGCGGGACAUCUACUUUUGGGACGUCCUGAUACGACCCCGCCCCGGAAACAUUUUUGGUUCAGCUCAUUUGAGCUCAAUUCAGCUCAUUGAGCUCGUUAUUAGCUCACUAGCUCAUUUAAUUUAAUUUGCUGGAAUAAAUUAAUUAGUUAAGUUAGUUAUUUUAGCUUAAAUAAUUACUAAGUAUUUAAUUAAGAAAUCUGGACAUUUUAAAUAUGUUUUAUUGGUUUUAAUGCAUGCUUUAAAUUUGUCUUAAGACUAUUUAAAUGUGUUCUAUUUAGUACAACUUUUAAUGUGUCUGGACGGAUUUAAUGCUGUUGUUUAAUGUGUCUUUAGUGCUUUAAAGUGCCGAAUUUAAUAUGUCUAAUUGUUGACUUAAUUCAGCCGAAUUAAUGAACCACUUUAAGGUGUCUUGUGGCUGCCGAAUUUAAUGUUAACUUAAUUCAUGUCCAGCCGAAUUAAUAUGGCUAAUUAAUAUGUCUUGGUUCAAGCAUGAGAUUAAUUAUGUUCAAAUAGGGCUGCCGAAAUUAAUUGUAAUGUGCAUGAAUUAUUUGACCGAAUUUAUUUUGUGUCUGCAGGUCAUUGAAUUCGGCUAAAUGGCAAAGGAAACAUGCAUUUAAGGAGAUGUUCCCAUGCAUGGAACGGCAUUUAAAGGGAAGUUGGCUGCUGCAUUUUUCUCCCUAUGCAUGGGACGGCAUUAAAAUCCCUCUUCUCCAUGUGCUAUUUCGGUCCCUUCAAUAGAGCCAUUAAUGUGCCAUCUCAAUUAAGAGAAUGCAUGAGCAGCAAAUUAAAACCUGCAUUUAAGCUGCCGUUUGAGCUCACCUAGGAGCCUUUUUCGUGGGAAACAAAGGAGCCUUAAAAGCACCAUCCAAAUUGAAGGGAUGAAUGGGCAGAUUCUAGAAGUCAAAUUUAUUACCCAUGAUGAACAAACAUUUGCUUCAUGACUAAGGAUGCAUCUAUGGAUGGCAAGGGGGGGACGAAUGUGACUUAAAUGUCAUUCAAUGGAUGAACAUAUAUCAUUAAAAUCGGUUCAUGGGCUGAUUCAUGUUACUUAUUAAUGGCCAGAAUUGGCUAUUCAUGUCCUAGUUUUAGUAUAAAUAGUUGGCUUGUAAGCAUGUAAAAGGUUAGACAAUAUACUUUUAAACUUUAUAUGAAAUUUGUUUACUUUGUGAGAUUGUUUUCAACUCUCAUUGUUCUCCAAAGACUCGUCUGAGUUAUCAAGUAACCCUUGUGGCGUCAACCCGUCUUUCUAUCUGAACUUAUCACUUUAAUCCCAAAAGUGUGGCGUUCGAUUCGUACUGAGGUUCCUAUCAUUUUUGAUAGCGGGUCGAAGUUUCUAUCCACUUAACAAACCUUCCAUCAACACCCUACCAACCUAAGCAUUCUCCUAAGUUACGGGUUAACACACUCCUAUUGUGUUAGUUCGGCUUUUGAAUACUUAGCCCAAACUUCAUCCAUUGAUUUAUGUUUCAUUUCCUAAACCAACAAAACUUUAUUGAGCCUAAAUAAUUCCUUUUUCUUCUAGCCUAUUUUGUAAAGCUUUCAAAUUACUCCAAUUCACGAUCGGGCACAACAACGACUCGGAUUCAUUAACCGGGCUGGAUCGUAUCAUUUGGUAUCAGAGCUAGCUGAAUCGGAGUAAGAUCGACGUUAUCGGUAUUACGGUAUUGUAAAAAAAUAUAAAAAAAAUUCGAAAAAAAAAAAUUUUGAAAAAAAAAUUCAAAAAAAAAGUUUGUAUUCAAUUUAUUUGUACUUUUUGUAUUUAGUAUUGAAGAAAAAAAAAGAAAAAAAUGCGAAAUUAAAAAAAAAGAAGAAAAAAAUCAAAAUUGAAAAAAAAAAGAGUGAUUGAAAUUCAUUUUGGGUUUGUAAAAGCAUUGCUUGUUGCCCGAAGGACCAUAUCUAUAUAGCCACACUUAACCAAUUAUAUUUUGUUUGAUAGCCUACCGUUUCCGACAUCAUUACCUACCAAGCCAAAUCAAUUUUGUAAGCCGACGCCAAACGGUAUUGAUUCGUCGACUUAGUUUGCGAAGAACUUCGAGAGGCAAAAAAUCGAGUGGAAAAAGGCAAGAGUGAUUGGUGUGAGUUCAUUCGAGAGAAGAAAAGCCAAAAGCGAGCGUAAACACGAGUGGAGUGAAAAUUUUCUUUCUGAGUGACUUGCGAGGCUUUGUGGUGAGGUAUUUACUUUUUAUUUUAAACACUUAUUCCUUUUAGCAAAAGAAAAAAAAAUGUCUCGAGAAGAAUUUUCCGAAAUAGACUUCCAAUAUUUGAUGCAAGAGAUGCAAAGAAUGGUGAAAUCAAAAUUUGAUAAGUUGCAUGAUAGAUUGGAUCGAGUGGAGGAAAGAUUCCGACGAAAGCCAAAUUCACCGAAUCAAGAGACAGAGACAAGAUCAUUUCGAAAGCACACAUUCCAUGAUUAUUCGAGAAGAGAUGAACGAGUUUCUUAUGCUUCGAGAUAUUUUCCCACGGAGGGUUAUUCACAAAGAGAUGUUCGUGACUUGCACGAUGAAUCUGCCAUUUCUUUCGAACGUGAAGCUUGUCGCUAUGAUUCUUAUAAGUUAUCAUCUUCUUGUAAUGGAAGAAUAAGACAAAAAGAAAAUAGAAGAAAAGAAAGACAAGAGAUGUUGAUGCAAGAAAAUGAACGAAUCUUGAAUGAAAUUGAGAGAAGAAAAAAAGAAAAUGAGAGUGAGAAAAAGAAAAAAAGAAUUUGAGAUUGAGAUUGAGAUUGAUAUUGAUAUUGAGAAAAAAUUGAAAAGGAAAAAGAUGUUGAAAAAGAAAUGAGAGAAAAGGAAGAUGGUGAGCGAGAACAAGAAAAAGAGAGGAAAAUUUUAACUAACCCCCGAGAUGUUUGUUUUUGUUCUGUUCCUUCUUUUCAGGUUUCGACAAAUCUCUAUGACGAAUAUCAACUUCAAUAUCUUCCUGACGAGCGACGUUUUUGCCUGACCGAAAAAGGUAAGGAUGAAGUUGAAAUUGAACCACAUGAGCCCGAAGGUAAGAUAGGUAAGGAACACCUAGCACUUGAAUUUCCAUUAUCUUCCUUGAAUGUGGAUAAACAUAAUGUCGACUUCAUCUUUGUAAAAGCUCCAUGCCAAAAAGUGGUUGAUUUUCCUUCAUUGAUUAGUGUUUUAAUCUCAAAUGGUGGUGAGACGAGCUUUCCCAAAACAAAUUUUUACGUUGACAAGUUUGGUUUAAUGAACUCUUUGCUACUCUUUGGCGUUAAUAAUCAAAUUCAAAUUUUUAAACCCAGAAUCUGUUUUAGUACAUUUGUUGGGAAAUUCAAGCAUGACCAAUUGUGUGCGAACAAUUUCUAUUGUUUUGAUGCUUGGUUGUUCAAUAAGGAAACGAGGUAUGAUAAAUUUGAUUUCAAUUCAAUCCUUAGUCUAUUUCUGUGGUUAUACCUGAAGUACGUAUUUCAUUUCGACAAGGUUAAUUCCACCAAGGAGCUUCGAUUGCAUUACAAGUCCAAGGAGAGAAGAUUUGUGAUGAUCGACGAAGGUAAAAAUGAUCCUUGUUUUUCCAUUCUUCAAGGUGAACAAGGUAUGACUCAUGAGAACUUUAAAAUCUUUCUGCCCUAUUCGGUUGGAAAUAAACAUCUUUUUGAAGAAUUGGUUUUUGCAAAGUAUUUCAAUCGUGAAGUGUUUAAUUGUUCAGCUUUAUUUGAAAGUGAUUUAUCUAUUUUGAUUGAUGCUGAUAAUGCGAAUUUGGAAGAACCCAUCGUUCAAUUUCCAUUGCCAAGUUUUAUUGUGCGAGAUUUCUAUUCAUUUGUUUGUGAUGAAAGGAUUAUGCUGAUGGUAUCUUCAUUUCGUUUGAAAUAUGUUGGUAAGACUAUUAUUGUUGAUAAAUUUGUUGGUGAAUCAAUAGGCAAACGUCCACUACAAGUUUCAAUCGAACAAAAGCAUGAAUCCAAUGGUUUUUUUUAUUUACCUGAUAAUGUAGAAAAUGUGUGGUCAUUGAAUUGUUGUGAAAGCUUACUAUGUUUGAACGAAGAAAUUUGGAAAAGAUUCAAGGCAAAUGAACGUUUUAACAUACCUGAUUUUGUGAGCCUAUCCAUUCCAUGCUAUCGUAAAGGGUUGUAUAAGGACAAACAUUUUAUGAGGGACAAGAAGCUCGACUUGAGGGCAAGUCGCUUCGAAGAAGGGACGUCCUGAUACGACCUCGCCCCGGAAACAUUUUUGGUUCAGCUCAUUCGAGCUCAAUUCAGCUCAUUGAGCUCGUUAUUAGCUCACUAGCUCAUUUAAUUUAAUUUGCUGGAAUAAAUUAAUUAGUUAAGUUAGUUAUUUUAGCUUAAAUAAUUACUAAGUAUUUAAUUAAGAAAUCUGGACAUUUUAAAUAUGUUUUAUUGGUUUUAAUGCAUGCUUUAAAUUUGUCUUAAGACUAUUUAAAUGUGUUCUAUUUAGUACAGCUUUUAAUGUGUCUGGACGGAUUUAAUGCUGUUGUUUAAUGUGUCUUUAGUGCUUUAAAGUGCCGAAUUUAAUAUGUCUAAUUGUUGACUUAAUUCAGCUGAAUUAAUGAACCACUUUAAGGUGUCUUGUGGCUGCCGAAUUUAAUGUUAACUUAAUUCAUGUCCAGCCGAAUUAAUAUGGCUAAUUAAUAUGUCUUGGUUCAAGCAUGAGAUUAAUUAUGUUCAAAUAGGGCUGCCGAAAUUAAUUGUAAUGUGCAUGAAUUAUUUGACCGAAUUUAUUUUGUGUCUGCAGGUCAUUGAAUUCGGCUAAAUGGCAAAGGAAACAUGCAUUUAAGGAGAUGUUCCCAUGCAUGGAACGGCAUUUAAAGGGAAGUUGGCUGCUGCAUUUUUCUCCCUAUGCAUGGGACGGCAUUAAAAUCCCUCUUCUCCAUGUGCUAUUUCGGUCCCUUCAAUAGAGCCAUUAAUGUGCCGUCUCAAUUAAGAGAAUGCAUGAGCAGCAAAUUAAAACCUGCAUUUAAGCUGCCGUUUGAGCUCACCUAGGAGCCUUUUUCGUGGGAAACAAAAGAGCCUUAAAAGCACCAUCCAAAUUGAAGGGAUGAAUGGGCAAAUUCUAGAAGUCAAAUUUAUUACCCAUGAUGAACAAACAUUUGCUUCAUGACUAAGGAUGCAUCUAUGGAUGGCAAGGGGGGGGACGAAUGUGACUUAAAUGUCAUUCAAUGGAUGAACAUAUAUCAUUAAAAUUGGUUCAUGGGCUGAUUCAUGUUACUUAUUAAUGGCCAGAAUUGGCUAUUCAUGUCCUAGUUUUAGUAUAAAUAGUUGGCUUGUAAACAUGUAAAAGGUUAGACAAUAUACUUUUAAACUUUAUAUGAAAUUUGUUUACUUUGUGAGUUUGUUUUCAACUCUCAUUGUUCUCCAAAGACUCGUCUGAGUUAUCAAGUAACCUUUGUGGCGUCAACCCGUCUUUCUAUCCGAACUUAUCACUUUAAUCCCAAAAGUGUGGCGUUCGAUUCGUACUGAGGUUCCUAUCAUUUUUGAUAGCGGGUCGAAGUUUCUAUCCACUUAACAAACCUUCCAUCAACACCCUACCAACCUAAGCAUUCUCCUAAGUUACGGGUUAACACACUCCUAUUGUGUUAGUUCGGCUUUUGAAUACUUAGCCCAAACUUCAUCCAUUGAUUUAUGUUUCAUUUCCUAAACCAACAAAACUUUAUUGAGCCUAAAUAAUUCCUUUUUCUUCUAGCCUAUUUUGUAAAGCUUUCAAAUUACUCCAAUUCACGAUCGGGCACAACAACGACUCGGAUUCAUUAACCGGGCUGGAUCGUAUCACGUCCAUGGCAGUUUGAUAGGCGCGUGAUCUAUGAUGGUUAUACAAAUCGCUAUACAUUCAAGCAUCGAGGUAAGAAUGUAACUUUAGCGCCAUUGACUCCAAAGCAAGUGUACCAAGAUCAAUUGAAGUUGAAGGAAAAGAUUGAAAAAGAGAGAGACAAGAAAAAUGAAAAAAAGAAAGAGAAAAUUGAGGGAGUGGAGGUAAAAGUAAGAGAGGAACAAGAAAGUCAAAAAGAAAUUGAGAGUGGUAAAAUGAGCGUAUUUGCGAGAGAAAAAGAGAUAAGAAAAUCAUUGUUGUUGCAUCAAUCCGUACUUGUACUUAUGUACAAGGAAUGCUUAUUUGAUGCUAACGAACUUGAUAAUUCUUUACCUUUGUCUAUUGUUUCUUUGCUUCAGGAAUUCAAAGACAUUUUCCCAGAAGAUGUGCCAAGUGGAUUGCCUCCUUUUCGAGGUAUUGAACACCAAAUAGACUUUAUUCCUGGAGCUACAAUUCCAAAUCGACCAGCUUAUCGAAGCAACCCAGAGGAAACUAAAGAGUUGCAACGACGAGUGGCGGAAUUAAUGGAAAAAGGCUAUAUACGGGAGAGUUUAAGUCCAUGUGCGGUUCCCGUUCUGUUGGUGCCUAAAAAAGAUGGUUCAUGGAGGAUGUGCGUAGAUUGCCGAGCUAUCAAAAAAAUUACCGUCAAAUACCGACAUCCCAUUCCUAGACUUGAUGAUAUGUUAGACGAGCUUAGUGGAGCAAAAUUGUUCUCUAAGAUUGAUCUGAAAAGCGGGUAUCAUCAAAUUCGUAUGCGAGAGGGGGACGAGUGGAAGACUGCGUUUAAGACUAAAUAUCGUUUGUAUGAGUGGUUAGUGAUGCCUUUUGGCCUCACCAAUGCACCGAGUACUUUCAUGAGGUUGAUGAACCACGUUUUGAGGUCAUUCAUUGGUCGUUUUUGCGUAGUUUAUUUUGAUGAUAUUUUAAUUUACAGCAAAUCAUUAACUGAACAUCUUGAACAUUUGCAUGCUAUUUUGAAGGUUUUACGAAAGGAAGUAUUGUAUGCAAACCUUAAGAAAUGUAACUUUUAUACUGACAAAGUUGUUUUUCUAGGUUUUGUUGUAAGUGCGAAUGGAUUAGAGGUGGACCAAGAGAAGAUUAAAGCAAUACAAGAAUGGCCACAACCGAAUAACAUCAGCCAAGUUAGAAGCUUUCAUGGCCUUGCAAGCUUCUAUAGGAGGUUUGUACCGAAUUUUAGCACUCUUGCUGCCCCAUUAGCUGGUAUUAUCAAAAAAUUCACCUUUUAUUUGGUCUGAUGAACAAGAAUAUGCUUUUGUUAAAAUCAAAGAUUGCUUGACUAAUGCUCCACUUUUAUGUUUGCCGAAUUUUAACAAAAUUUUCGAGGUAGAAUGUGAUGCUUCUGGAAUAGGAAUAGGUGCGGUUUUAACGCAAGAUGGGCGACCGGUGGCUUAUUUUAGCGAGAAACUUAAUGGAGCUACGCUCAAUUAUCCCACAUAUGACAAAGAAAUGUACGCAUUGAUACGUGCAUUAGAAACAUGGCAGCAUUACCUUUGGCCUAAGGAGUUCGUUAUACACACGGACCAUGAGGCUUUGAAGCAUUUGAGAGGGCAAACUAAGCUUAACAAACGACAUGUAAAAUGGGUAGAAUUCUUAGAAUCCUUUCCAUAUGUGAUUAAGUAUAAGCAAGGUAAGGAAAAUAUCGUUGCAGAUGCUUUAUCGCGAAGGUAUGCUCUUUUAAAUUAUUUGGAUGUUAAGUUACUUGGUUUUGCUUAUUUAAAAGAACUAUAUGCUGAUGAUUCUGAUUUUGGAGAAGUUUACAAGUUAUGUGUGCAAGGUGCGUAUGACAGGUACUAUCAGCAAGAUGGAUUCCUAUUUCGAGAAAAUAAGUUGUGCAUACCCCAAGGAUCAACUAGAAAUUUGCUGGUUCAUGAAGCACAUAGUGGGGGUUUAAUGGGACAUUUUGGUAUUGCCAAAACUUUGGCCGUUCUUCAAGAACACUUUUAUUGGCCAAAGAUGAAACGAGAUGUGGCUAAAGUGUGCAAUCGCUGUAUUGUUUGCAAGAAGGCGAAAUCAAGGGUCCAGCCACAUGGACUCUAUACUCCAUUACCGAUUCCAGAAAUGCCAUGGAUGGAUAUUUCUAUGGACUUUGUUUUGGGUCUUCCUAGAACAAAGAAUGGCAAAGAUUCUGUGUUUGUUGUAGUUGAUCGGUUUUCAAAAAUGGCUCAUUUCAUUGCAUGUAACAAAACUGACAAUGCUUUAAAUGUUGCCAAUCUAUUUUUUAGGGAGAUUGUACGAUUGCAUGGAAUUCCAAGAACCAUUGUUUCGGAUCGAGACACUAAAUUUCUUAGCCACUUUUGGAGGACUUUAUGGGGAAAGAUUGGAACUAAGCUAUUAUUUUCCACAACAAGUCAUCCCCAAACUGAUGGCCAAACAGAGGUUGUUAAUAGAGUUCUGUCAACACUACUGCGGGCCAUUAUACGUAAGAAUUUAAAAACUUGGGAGGAGUGUCUACCUCACAUUGAAUUUGCAUACAAUCGAUCGGUACAUUCAGCUACCAAGUUUUCACCAUUUGAGGUAGUGUAUGGAUUUAAUCCCUUAACUCCAUUGGAUUUAUUGCCUUUACCUUUUGAUAAAUUGGUGCAUGUAGAUGGAAAGAAAAAGGCAGAUUUUGUGAAACAAUUACAUCAGCGAGUUAGGGAUAAUAUUGAACGAAGAACGGAGCAAUAUGCACAUCAAGUUAACAAGGGCCGUAAACGAGUAAUAUUUGAACCUGGUGAUUGGGUUUGGAUUCACAUGCGCAAGGAGAGAUUUCCCGUUCAAAGGCGAUCCAAACUAUUACCACGAGGAGAUGGACCUUUUCAAGUCUUGGAGAGAAUUAAUGAUAACGCUUAUAAGUUAGAUUUACCUGGUGAGUAUGGGGUUAGUGCUACUUUUAAUGUUGCUGAUUUAUCUCUUUUCGAUGUAGGUGACGAUUUGGGAGCAAAUCGCCUCGAAGAGGGGGGAAUGAUGCAACCUUAGCCCGGGAAAUUACUACCGAAUCCAUUGAGCUGCCACGAGGACCAAUAACUCGAUCACGAGCUAAGAGAUUUUGAAAUGCAAUAGCAAGCUAUGUGGAACGAGCUUGGGAAGAGGGAGUGGCCGGAUUUGAUAGUCGUGCUUCAAACCGUUCAAAAGGCGUUACUUGCAAUUUAUUGCAAGCUGAAUUUGUUUCUUUUAAUUAACUUGUUUUAGUUUAAUAAAUAAGUUGCUGAUCAAUUAAUUUAACUUAUCUUAAAGUUUUAAUACAUGAGUUAGUUAUUGAACUUUAUUAAAUAAGAUGCUUCUUAAUUGAUCUAGUUCCUAGGAUUAUUUAUUGAUGCAUAAAUUAAGUUCUUUAAAUUAUGCUUCUUUAAUUAAACUAGUUGCUGGAAUAAUUAUUGCAUAUAUGUUUUAGUUCAUUUAUUUAAGUAAGUUUAAUAUGUGUUAUGAUUAAUAAGUGUUUUAAUGUGUUUAAUAAACUCAUUUUAAUGUGUUUAUUGCAGGUGACUUUUUAGCUUAUAGUGGUUACAAUUCAAGGCUGUUACACAUUUAAUAAGUGGCUGUUCAAGUUCUUUUGAGUUACAAUUAAAUGGGCUGUUAAAAAAAGGAGCUUAAAGAUCAUUAAAAGGAGUUUUUAAAGAGCAUUUUAUUCCCUUUAAAAUUCAGCAGCAACUCUUCCACUUCCAGCCGUUUUUGGAGCUUUUAAGAGAAAUUAAUCAAGCCUUUGAAUGUCAUUAAGGAGCUAGUAAGAGAUGGUGUCUAUUCAACUAGCCAAGAACAACUCAAGAGUCAUUUUCUAAGCCAUUAAAGAUAUUCAAAUCAGCUGAAUUAAAGUGAUUUUAUGGAAGGAGUUAUUUGGUUCAAAGAAUAAGAAAAGACAUCAGUUUUUUAUGGCACAUUAAGUGGAUGUUUUUGACCAUUCGGUUACCUUGUUCUAGCAUUAUAAAUAGAUGUAAUCAGCCAUAGAGGGAACAACUUUUUUUGCUGAAUAUAGAUGAAAUAUUUGAAUUGUGAGCUAUCCAAUUCUCUUUUUUCUUUCAGAAUUGAUUUGACUUAUCAAGCAUAGCUUGUGGCGUCCAUCUUUUCUUUGUUGCUGAACUUAUCACCUUUGGUGUGGCGUUCAAUAUACCUUUGGUUCCUAUCAUAGUUGAUAGUGGGUCAAGGUUCCUUUCCUGUUUCCUUUAACCGAAAACACCUAAAGACCAUUUUGAGAUUCGGGUCAACAAUUCGUUAUUGUUGGUUCAUUUUCGGUCUUAGCCAAUUAAUUUGUUAUUGUUUCCUCUUUAUUUUGUUUAUUACCUUUGUUUGAAGCCAUUAUCUCUAUUUUGUUUCAUUUUAAAACCGAAACAAAUCGAUCCUUACUCAAUUCACGAUUGGACAAAACAUACGACUCAAAACAUCACGAGACGAGUUCGUAUCAUUAAUUGAAUGUGAAUUUUCUCCAUUAAAGGGGCCAGCCGAAUCAUCUUUUUCUAGAAGGUUAAUUUUCAGAAUUUUAUCACAUGAAUGUAACUAGGAAAUUUCUAGGAAGUUUCCUCAAGAAACUUAAGGCAUAAGGAUCUGAUUAGAUAGGCUAUUCGGCUGCCUUAGUCAAGCUAUAAAUAGGUCAUGUAAUUCACAUUUUGAGGUGAAUGAACAAUUUGAUAGCUUUGCUAAAUUGUGAGGUUGUUUUCAACUCUCGUUAUUCUCCAAAAACUUGUGAGACUUAUCAAACAUCUUUGUGGCGUCAAACUUGUUUUUGUUUCUUCCCGAACUUAUCACUUUAAUCCCAAAAGUGUGGCGUUCGAUUCAUACUAAGGUUCCUAUCAUCAUUGAUAGUGGGUCGAAGUUUCUAUCCAUUUAACAAACCUUCCAUCCAUCCUUACCAACCUAAGCAUUCUCCUAAGUUACGGGUUAACACAUUCCUAUUGUGUUAGUUCGGCUUUCGAAUCCUUAGCCAAAUUGCUUCCAUUGUUUUCUAUUUCAUUUCCUAAACCAACAAAACUCUUUUGAGCCUAAAUAAACCUCUUUCUUCUAGCCUAUUUUGUAAAGCCUCAAUUUACUCCUAAUUCACGAUCGGGCGAUCUUUACGACUCAAUUCGAUCUCGAGGUGAGGGCAUACAAGUUGGUAUCAGAACUAGCUAAAUCGGAGUAAGAAUCGUCGUCUUCGGUAUUACGAGAUUGUAAAAAAAAUUCAAAAAAAAAAUUCGAAAAAAAAUUCAAAAAAAAGCAAAAAAAAGUUUGUAUUCAAUUUAUUUUUCCUUUGUGUAUUCAGUAUUGAAAAAAAAAUUCGGAAUUAAAAAAAAAGAAGUGAUUGAAAUUCAUUUUGAGCUUGUAAAAGCAUUGCUUGCUGCCCGAAGGACCACAUCUAUACAGCCACACUAAUUUCCUUCUAUUUUCUUUGUUUGUUAGCCUACCCGAUCCUAAAAUAUUACCCUACCAAGCCACAUCUAUUUUGUAAGCCGACCCAAACAAUUUUGAUUUGUCAAACUUAGUUUGCAGAGAAUUUUGGGAAGUGAAAAUUGAGUGGUAAAAGGCAAGAGAGAUUAGUGAGACUAUUAGAGAGUAGAAAAGCCAAAGUGAGUGUUUAUUCUUGUGAGUGAUUGGUGAGUUCUUGUUGUGAUUCUUUAAAGAACUUUUAAAAAUGUCACGGAGUCCAGAAAGGAAUCCAAACAAGGGAGGUGGAUUUCGUCCAAUAAGAAACGUUGGAAGGGGAGUGCCGGAUCUCACUUUGCAAGCCAUUAUGCAAGAAAUGGAGCGAUUGUUUGAUCGUAAGCUUGAACCAAUCGAAGACCGCCUAUAUCGAGUCGAAACCCGAAGGCAAUUCGAAGCGACUCCGAAAGAUGCAAGGCGAGAACGAGAGCAACCAAUUGACAACUAUAAUGAAGAAGAAUCUGAAGGUGAUCAUUUAUCUGAACAAGGAAACCCUCAACGGUUCCAACGAAAUUGAGUCCCAAGAAAUUGAGACCGUCCGGAUGACAAUCUCAAAAAUAUUAAGAUGUCUAUUCCGCCGUUUCAAGGGAAGAAUGAUCCCAAAUCUUACUUGGAGUGGGAAAAGAAAAUGGAACUCGUCUUUGAGUGCCAUAACUAUUCGGAAAAAAAAAGGUAAAGCUCGCUGCUAUUGAAUUCUCGGAUUAUGCGAUCGUGUGGUGGGAUCAAUUGGUGACUAGCCGAAGGAGGAAUGGGGAGAGGCCUAUCUCUACGUGGGCCGAAAUGAAGGCCGUUAUGCGCAAGCGUUUUGUUCCCUCCUAUUACCAUCGGGAGUUGUACCAACGAUUGCAAAAUCUCACACAAGGCAACUGAACUGUCGAGGACUACUAUAAAGACAUGGAAAUCGCUAUGAUAAGAGCCGACGUGGAGGAGGAUCGUGAAGCAACAAUGGCGAGAUUUUUAGCUGGCCUAAAUCGGGAUAUUGCUAAUAUCGUCGAGCUUCAACACUAUGUAGAAGUUAUGGACAUGGUGCAUAUGGCAAUAAAAGUUGAAAAACAAUUGAAACGGAAAGGACCCACGCGGACAUAUCCAACGGCUUCUACCAACAAGUGGGCUCAAGGGACUAGCAAAGCUCCCAAUCGGCCUAAGGAGCCUUUCGUUGCUGCCAAACCCAAUCAAGUAAGUGCCGAUGCUACCAAAAAUAAAAACGAGGCUAUCUCGAAUCAUUCUCGUGAUAUCAAGUGUUUCAAGUGUCAAGGAAGAGACCACAUUGCGAGUCAAUGUCCUAAUCGACGAGUGAUGGUGGUUCGUUCCAAUGGCGAGAUUGAGUCCGAAGAUGAACAAGAGGAGGAGCCUGAAAUUCCCAUGGAGGAAGGUGAAGAGCUCGAGCUGCCCUUUGAAGGAGAAUUACUUGUUGUCAAAAGGAGCUUGAAUAUCCAAGUAGCCGAGGAAGAACAACAACGAGACAACAUCUUUCACACUCGUUGCCAUGUUCAAGGCAAGGUGUGUAGUUUAAUUAUUGACGGAGGUAGUUGCACCAAUGUCGCAAGUUCUUUGCUGGUUGAAAAACUUGGUUUAGCCACCACAAAGCAUCCAACUCCUUACAAGUUACAAUGGCUAAAUGACAGAGGCAAACUCAAGGUGACGAAGCAAGCAAGGGUGGCGUUUUCCAUAGGCAAGUACCAAGAUGAGGUGGUUUGUGAUGUCGUACCAAUGCACGCGGGACAUUUGCUAUUGGGGCGUCCUUGGCAAUUUGACCGGCGAGUAGUCCACGACGGCUAUACAAACCGAUAUUCAUUUAAGCACCUUGGAAGGAAUGUUACAUUAGCUCCUCUCACACCGAAGCAAGUGCAUGAAGACCAACUCAAGAUGAAGCAAUCUAUUGAGCGAGAAAAAGAAAAAGAGAAAAAAAAAAGAGUGAAAAGAAAAAGAAAGAAAAGAAAAAGAAAGAAUGAGGAGAGUGAGAUAAAAACAAGAGUGACAAAAGAAAAAGAGCAAGAGUGUGAAAAUAAAAAAAAUAAGUGUUUUUGCUAGAAAAAGAGAGAUUCGAAAAUUGAUGUUGGCAAGGCAACCCAUCUUUGUACUUAUGUAUAAAGAGUGUUUAUUGGAAACUAACGAACUUGACAAUACUUUGCCUACUCCUAUCGUUUCUUUGUUGCAGGAAUUCGGAGAUGUUUUUCCGGAAGAAGUGCCAAAUGGCCUACCUCCCAUUCGAGGAAUCGAGCACCAAAUCGAUUUUGUGCCCGGUGCUGCAAUUCCAAAUAGGCCAGCAUAUAGAAGUAAUCCUGAGGAAAAGAAGGAAUUAGAAAAGCAAGUAGCCGAAUUAAUGGAGAAGGGCUACAUCCGUGAAAGCUUAAGUCUGUGCGCGGUUCCGGUAUUGUUGGUUCCUAAAAAGGAUGGAUCCUGGCGAAUGUGCAUUGACUGCCGCGCUAUCAACAAAAUCACAAUAAAAUAUCGCCAUCCUAUUCCCCGCCUCGACGACAUGCUUGAUGAACUUAGUGGAGCUCAAUUGUUUUCGAAGAUCGAUUUAAAAAGUGGGUAUCAUCAAAUUAGAAUGCGGGAGGGAGACGAAUGGAAAACUGCGUUCAAAACUAAAUAUGGUUUGUAUGAAUGGUUGGUAAUGCCAUUCGGACUUACCAACGCUCCUAGUACUUUCAUGCGUCUCAUGAAUUAUGUUUUACGUUCGUUCAUUGGAAAAUUCUGUGUUGUGUAUUUUGAUGAUAUUUUAGUCUAUAGCAAGAGCUUGGAAGAUCAUAUUCAACAUCUACGUGCCGUGCUUGAAGUCUUACGAAAAGAGGUACUUUAUGCCAAUUUAAAGAAAUGUUCUUUUUGCACUAAUGAAGUUGUUUUUCUAGGCUUUGUGGUAAGUGCUCGUGGAUUAGAAGUUGACCAAGAAAAGGUCAAGGCGAUCAACGAAUGGCCGCGUCCAACGAACAUCAGCCAAGUGAGGAGUUUUCACGGGUUGGCAAGCUUCUAUCGAAGGUUUGUGCCUAAUUUUAGUUCUGUAGCUGCCCCCUUGACAGGUAUAAUUAAGAAAAAUUCUCCUUUUGUGUGGACUGAUGAACAAGAAAAUUCUUUUAAUAAGCUUAAAGAAUGUCUAACUAAUGCACCAUUGUUGUCUUUACCUGAUUUUAACAAAACAUUCAAGAUAGAGUGUGAUGCUUCAGGUAUCGGCAUUGGCGCUGCUUUGAUGCAAGAUGGACGGCCUAUUGCAUACUUUAGUGAAAAGCUUAACGGAGCUACGUUGAAUUAUCCAACGUAUGAUAAGGAACUAUAUGCAUUGGUCCGAGCUCUCGAAACAUGGCAACACUAUUUAUGGCCGAAGGAAUUCGUAAUUCAUUCGGACCACGAGGCUCUAAAGCAUUUGAAGGGAUAAACCAAGCUCAAUAAACGUCAUGCCAAGUGGGUGGAGUAUUUGGAGUCGUUUCCGUACGUGAUCAAGUAUAAAAAGGGUAAGGAAAAUGUUGUAGCCGAUGCCCUAUCACGAAGGUACGCACUUGUCAAUUUAAUGGAUUCUAAAUUGCUUGGUUUUGAAUUUAUCAAAGAUCUUUAUAAAUCCGAUGCUGACUUUGGUGAAAUUUAUGAGUCUUGUUCGCAUGGUGCUUGUGAAAAGUACUUUCAGCAUGAGGGCUAUUUAUUUCGUGAAGGCAAGCUUUGUGUGCCUCAAAGUUCUGUGAGAAACGACCUUGUAGAAGAAGCUCAUAGCGGAUGAUACGACCAUGCCCCGGGCACACUUUUGGAUCAGCUCCCUAAGCAUUGUUUGCAAAUCCAUGCGAGCUGAAUUAGUUCAAUUUCAUUUCGUUAAGCUCCGUUUAGCUCGUUUCCAGCUCACUCGAGCUCAAGUCAACUCAUUCAAGCUCAAUUCAGCUCAAUCUUAACCUAAUGAGCUUAUUUUUAGCUUUCUUUAGCUUGCAUUUAUUUUGCUGAAAUAAACCAUUUAAUUUGUCAUUAGUUAAAUUAGUUGUUUAUCUUAAGUUAGUUAAUUUGUUAAAAUCUGGACAAAUAAUUAAUUAAGUGUUUUAAUUAUAUCUAAAUUAAAUACUUAAUAAAUUAUGAUGUUUUAAAUAUGUCUGAAAUUGUUAAUAUGUAUGGCCAAAUUUAAUGUGCAAAUUAUUGAGUUCAUAUGCUGCUAAUUUAAUGUGUUUGAAAUGCAUUUAACUUGCUGAUUUAAUUUGCUGCAGGUUCAUGAACGGAUUGGUGCAAUGUAUGGGAGUGUGCAUGCACAAUUGAGGUUCAAUGGAUGGCAUUUAAAGGAGCACAUGCAUUUGGGACGUUCAUGCAAGAGGGAGUUGCUGAAAGUUCAUGUAUUUGAAGAUUCAUGGAUCAUAUUUAUGGGGGAAAAUACAUGGGACGUUUCAUGCAUGAUUCAUGCAUUUUCAAGAUGACCAUUCAAGUAUUUUAGGCACAUUAAUGCCUCAUUUAGCCAAGGGAGAUGUAGGAUCAUUAAAGAGCUGCACAUUCAUGGAAUUAUGGAGAUUCUUCAAGGCUAAGGAUGCAUGAAUGCAUCAAGUGAAGCAUCAUGAUGGUUCGGCCAAUUCAUGUACCAUCUUCAAGCAUGAACUGGAUUUUAAUGCUAUUUGUGUGAACAUGUUAAAUACCUGUGUGAACAGAAUUUAAGUUAGUGUGAACAACAUAGAUGCCGAAUAUCAAUAGGCAUUUUAGGCUUAUAAAUAGCUUACUUGUUUAUUGUAAAAGGUUACAAACAUUUCUGAUUAUUAAACUUAUUGUGAGGUUACCUCCAAUCCGAUUUUGUUUGAGUCUCGUCUGACUUAUCUAGCUCGCUAGUGGCGUCAACUCGACUUCUUGAACUUAUCACCAUCCUGGUGUGGCGUUCAUCCACCUUUUUAUACCUUUGGUUCCUACCUCUCUAUAGGUAACGGGUCAAGGUCCAUCUUCUAUCCUUCCACAAAUUUCACCUUAAGCAAUAUAAGACUCGGGCAAUACUUUUUAGUAUUGAACAUUCUUGACGUUUAAGUUUUAUUUUCCAUCUCCAUCAAUUACCUUUUUCUAACCUACCUUGUUUCUAUUCUAAACCGAAUUUAUCAACACCAAACCACUCAUCUAAACCCUCUCAAAGCUUCCGCAACCCUUAGCCUAAAUCACCCAAUUUUGACAACUCCAACUACUCCUCGUAGACGAUCGGGCAACUUUGUGAAACGACUCGAUUAACCUGGGCCGGAUCACAUCAGCAGAGGACUUAUGGGCCACUUCGAAAUUGCUAAAACUUUAGCAAUAUUGCAUGAACAUUUCUAUUGGCCCAAAAUGAAACGUGACGUAAUAAGGAAAUGUGAUCGUUGCAUCACUUGUAAGAAGGCAAAGUCACGAAUCAAACCGCAUGGUUUAUACACCCCGUUGCCUAUUCCUGAUGCUCCGUGGGUAGACAUUUCAAUGGACUUCGUUCUGGGCCUUCCAAGAACCAAAAGAGGGAGAGAUUCAAUAUUUGUUGUUGUAGACCGUUUUUCAAAAAUGGCCCAUUUUAUACCUUGUAAUAAAACUGAUGAUGCUAUUAACGUUGCUAGUCUGUUUUUCAAGGAAGUUGUUAGGUUGCAUGGAAUCCCUCGAACCAUUGUCUCCGAUCGCGACACAAAGUUUCUAAGUCAUUUUUAGAGGACGUUGUGGGGGAAAUUGGGCACCAAACUUCUAUUUUCGACGACAUGCCACCCUCAAACGGAUGGCCAAACCGAAGUAGUCAACCGUGUGCUAUCAACUUUGCUUCGAGCUAUUUUGAAAAAGAAUUUGAAGAUGUGGGAAGAUUGCUUACCUCAUGUUGAGUCCACAUACAAUCGAACCGUUCAUUCUGCUACGAAAUUUUCUCCUUUUGAGGUAGUAUACGGUUUUAACCCCAUUACUCCUCUUGAUUUGAUUCCUAUGCCUUCUAAUGAAUUAGUACAUGUAGAUGGCAAAAAGAAGGCCGAAUUUGUUAAAAAAUUGCACAAAAAUGUUAAGGAUAAUAUUGAGAGGAGAACUGAACAAUAUGUUCGAGGGGCAAAUAAAAGGCGCAAACGAGUCGUGUUCGAACCCGGUGACUGGGUUUGGAUCCACAUGUGCAAAGAACGGUUUCCCGAUCAAAGGAAAUCCAAGCUUCAAUCAAGGGGUGAUGGCCCUUUUCAAGUAUUGGAACGGAUCAAUGACAACGUCUACAAGAUUGACCUACCGGGUGAGUAUGGAGUGAGUGCAAGUUUUAACGUUGCUGGUCUUUCUCCUUUUGAUGUAGGUGACGAUUCGAGGACGAAUCGCUUCGAAGAGAGGGAGGAUGAUAUGAGCUCGCCCAUGAAGAUAGGUGCCGAAUCCAUGGAGUUGCCUUUGGGGCCAAUUACUCGAGCACGUGCCAAGAAGUUCCAAGAUGCUGUAGCAAGCUAUAUUGCUCGAUUGUGGAGUGAUGGGUUGAUUGCCCAUAAAACGCCCAGCUCAACUAGCUUGAUUCACAAUUUCCUACAAGCUGAUUUUAGCUUGUGUCAGCUCAAUUUAGCUCAAUUCCGCACUUAAUUAGUUCAAGGAGCUGAUUAAAUUUAUUUUCAAUAAAUUUAAUUAGUUGUGUUAGUUUAGAAUCAGCUCAAAUCAUUUAAUUAAAUAAAUGUGUCUUAAUCUGGACAUUUUUUUUAAUUCAGCUUAUUAAAUAUGUUUUAUAUUAGUACAUGCCUUUAAUAUUUCCAUAUUNNNNNNNNNNNNNNNNNNNNNNNNNNNNNNNNNNNNNNNNNNNNNNNNNNNNNNNNNNNNNNNNNNNNNNNNNNNNNNNNNNNNNNNNNNNNNNNNNNNNNNNNNNNNNNNNNNNNNNNNNNNNNNNNNNNNNNNNNNNNNNNNNNNNNNNNNNNNNNNNNNNNNNNNNNNNNNNNNNNNNNNNNNNNNNNNNNNNNNNNNNNNNNNNNNNNNNNNNNNNNNNNNNNNNNNNNNNNNNNNNNNNNNNNNNNNNNNNNNNNNNNNNNNNNNNNNNNNNNNNNNNNNNNNNNNNNNNNNNNNNNNNNNNNNNNNNNNNNNNNNNNNNNNNNNNNNNNNNNNNNNNNNNNNNNNNNNNNNNNNNNNNNNNNNNNNNNNNNNNNNNNNNNNNNNNNNNNNNNNNNNNNNNNNNNNNNNNNNNNNNNNNNNNNNNNNNNNNNNNNNNNNNNNNNNNNNNNNNNNNNNNNNNNNNNNNNNNNNNNNNNNNNNNNNNNNNNNNNNNNCGUACCAAUUCCUAAAUACCAAAACGUACCUAAACCAAAUACCAUUUCUUGUUUAUUCCUAAACCGAAUUCGACCAUACUAAUCAUACCAUUUUGACUUAAGCCAAAUCCACAUCUUACUUUGAUCGAACUUAUUUUACUUCUUUGAACACAAAUAUAUUCUUUCUUCUUCUUGUCUAAUAUACUUCUUAGUUUACGAUCGGGAACUAAACGACUCGGGUUCAACUACUAAACUGAGGUCGUAUCAAUAAUAUCGAAACAUAAGUUCAAUCUUAGAUUCGUAUUCACAAUAAGCUUCUGGAUCAUUCUUACCACGAAAUUAGGGAAUUGUGAACUUCGGUUUUGCCAAAGAGGGUUGCCCAUGAUCAUGAAAAUCAGCAUCAGUUCUAGGGACACGUCGAGGAUCGCGCCUAUGAGCAGGAGGCUGGUUAUCCAUAUCUUCUUUAAUUGGCUCUCGAUAUUGAGGCUCUUGAUUUAAUCUCACCUCAUUGAUGGUAGCAGUCAAAGUUCGAAGUGCAGCAGCCUGUUCGUCUAACUGUUGUUGGAGUUUUUUAAAUGUGUCAUAGACAUCAUUAUGGUCAGUAUCACCUUGACCAACCUUAGACAUUUUCAAAAACCUGUAAAAUAAACACUCAACACUCAAAAAUAAAAAUUAGCAAACCUCACCGUUAAUCACUCAAAAAGAAAAUUUUAAUUCUCAAUGAGGUAGAAUUCAGUCUUGUGAGUUCUUUGAGCCGAACUACCAAAGAAUCCUAAUUUGCACUAGGAUGUCAAAAAUUGACGAGACAUGAUACGGGGUUGCGCGCGGACCAAGAUCGAGUUACCAAGUCAUGAAAAACUCCAACGAAAACCCUAAACAAUCAGAUCUGAAACAAAAUAGAAAAUUAAAAGAUUAGAACUUUGAAUUUUCAGAUCUGAAAUAAAAUCCCCAAAUCAGCAAAGAAUCAAAUUGAAAAUAGAAAUGAGUGUUAAUAAGGGUUCUUGAAACCCUAAAAGAGAUUGCGAUUCUGCCCAAUUGAACACCAAGAUAGUUUUCCCCAAAUUUCGAAAAUCUAAUUUCACCCAAAAAGAGUAUGGAAGAACCCUAGAAAUUGGGGAUUUUUGGGCUGAUUCCUUAAGAUAGAAAAAGGCUGAAAACACAAUAAGAACAGAAAAUAAAUUAGAUAAAGAUUCAGCACAAGCAGAAAUAAAGAAAGAAUUGACAGCAAGAAAUUAAAAGAUAAGUCCUAAGAAGCCUUGAAAUCCCGAAAGAUCUCACAACUCCCUUCAAACGACUCUAAUCUCCCCUCCAAACAAUAUCAAUGGCAAGAAGAAGGCUGAAGAUGGCUACCACAAUCAAAAGAUUGUUAAAACAACUUCUAAAGAAAACUCAAGAGAGAAUUCUUGGAGAAAAACUCAAAGAGAAUUCUGCACUUAAACAAAUCUGAUAUUUUUGAUAUAAUUGAGAAGUUGUUUACAAGGUGGCCAGCCAUGCCUUUAAAUAGGCCUUAUAACUAGUCCUAAUCUAAUUAGAAAACUAAAAUAAAAAAAAAUCCUAAUUAUUUUAAUAUGGAAAUUCGGUCAAAGGUCUUUAUUUGGGACUCUUGGACUGAAUAUUUACAUAAAAAAUUUAAACUAAGUAAAUAAAUAAAUAAAUAAAUAAAAAUAAAAAUAAAACUUUACAACUUGGGCCACUUUAACAAUUUGGCCUGAUUUUCAACUAAGUAUGUAUGGAUUUCUUGAUUGGGCUGGGAAUUUGCUUAUUGGGCCUCGCCUUCAAGAAUUUGGGCUUUUGUGACUCGUAUCACACUUAGAAUUAUUCUUAAAUUUCAGAUUUGUUGAGAGCAGAAUUUUCUUUGAGUUUUCUCCAAGAUUUCUCUCUUGAGUUUUCUUUAGAAGUUAUUUUAACAAUCUUUUGAUUGUGGGAGCCAUCUUCAACCUUAUUCUUGCCAUUCAUAUUCUUUGGAAGGGAGAUUAGAGCCGUUUGAAGAGAUUUGUGAAGUCUUUCGGGAUUUCAAGGAUCUUUAGGACUUAUCUUUUAUUUCUUGCGUUUCGUUUUCUUUAUUUAAUUUCUCUUGUGUCGAUUCUUUAUCUCAUUUGUUUGUUGUUCUUCUUGUGUUUUUCCAGCCAUAAUCAACUCAAAGAAUCGAAUUAAAUCAUCAUUCAUUGGCAGCAAGAAGUCGUUCUCAAAUCCCCAAAGUUUAGGGUUUGGCCAAUUGGGUCAUAAUCUGCUUGGAGUUCUUUUGGUUGCUGAAAUUUGGGCAAUUCAUCUUAGGUGUUCAAUUGGACCGAAUCGCAUUUUAAUUCACUUCUUGAAUCGUUCAAUUUCAUCAAUUUCUUUCUUUUCUUUUUGCCGCCCCAAAUUCCUAAUCUUCCAUUAAAAAUCUGAUUGUUUUAAUUUACUUACUGUUUUGGUGUUCUUGGGCAGAUUCAGCUUGUGGGAUUUCACUAUUGGAGUUCGAUUUCAUCUUUUUGAACUUCGAAGACAUCUAUUCAUUCGUUCUUUGUUCCUUGCUGCUCAUUUAAUUGAAUUUGGGAAUUUAAUUACAGAUCUGAUUUGUUUUAAUUUGAUUCUUUGUUUUUGUUUUUAGAUCUAUUCGUCUAGAGCCUCGUAUGAGUUUUUCCGUGACUUGGCAACUUGAUCUUGGUCCGCGCGCGCCUCUAUAUCAAGACACUAAUUAAUUUGUGUUGCACCGAGGAAGAAUUGUGCACACCUUAAAAUCCUACUAACACAAGAAACAAGAAGGUGUUAGAUAGUGUAAAGGAAGAAUAAAGGAAAACAAAUGAAAACCUACAGCUAAGAAUCAAUAAAAAUUGUUGAAAUCGAAAAACCCGAAAAACUGCGGAGUAACUUGACAACUUCAUUCAAGGUGUUCCCGAUCUCCAAAAAUCACGAAAUUAAAUUGUAAUGUCCUUAAAUAUUUAAUUUUUGAUCUGGAAAGUUUGGGCACCAAACUCAACCCGCUAAAUAUUUUUAUUGGAUUUCGUCUUUUUCAAUUUUUUUAAUUUUUUGACUGACUUUUUUGCGGGAAAUAUUUUUUUAUAUUCAAUCACAGUGCUACAAAUAUGUAUGUAAAAUUUUAGAUCAAUCGGACAAUUUUUCCCCACUCAAAUGAAGUUUUUUUUGAAAAAUUUUUCUGGGUAAAACUGUUGUUUGUAGUUUAAAAAUAGAGAUCAGUUUAGAAAUCAACCAAGAACACCCAAAAUGCCCAAAAUUUGAUACCAAAUGAUAGGGGGUUGCGCGCGGACCAAGAUCAAGUUGUCAAGUCAGGGAAACUCCUACGAAAGCUUUAAACACUUGGAUCUGAAAAAAUGCAGCACAAAGAUUAAAUCUGGAAAUUUCAAGAUCUGGAAUAAAACCCUAAAAUAACAAAGAACAAAUCAAGAAUCGAAACAACUAUUAUUAGGAAAUUCAGACGACAGAAACUCGGGAAUAAACUCCCAAUAAAUCCUUAAACCAGCCGAAUCUGUCCAAGGCAACAAGAUGAAGAGUUAAUUCAAUAAAAGAACAAAUCAAAUUAAGGAAAUUUGGACAGGAAGUGAUAGAGGGUUACGCGCGGACCAAGAUCGAGUUGUCAAGUCACGAGAAACUCCUACGAAGGCUCUAAACGAAUCAGAUCUGAAAACAAAACAGCAAUUAAGAUUAAAUUAAUCAAAAUUGAAAUCAAAUCCCCAAAAAAAACUAAGAACAGCCAAGAAACAAAGAACUUAAGAAUAAAUGGUUUUCGGAAUGCAAGAACACAAAAAUCGAUCUCCAAGAUUGAUUCCCCAACCAGCCAAAUCUGUUAAAGAACACCAAAACCAAAAAACAAAUCAAAAUGAUCAGAUUGCUAAUGGAAUUUAAAAGUUGUCACGGCAAGAAGGAAAGAAAGAAAUCGAUGGAAUAAAACGAUUCGGGAAGUGAACAAAGAUUUCCAUUCUGCCCAAUUGAAUCCCAAGAUGGUUUCCCCCAAAUUACAGCAAUCGAAUGUACCAAAGAAGACUAGAGAUGAAUCGGCAAGAACCCUAGAAAUUGGGGAUUUUUAGGCCGACUAUAUGCUGCCAAUAAGAGAAGAAUUGACCGAAUCUUUAAGAUUGAAAGAGGCUGAAAACAAAACAAGAAGAGAAAUUAAAUCAAUAACGAUAAUUGGCACAAACAGAAACUAAAAGAAAAUUGAUCAGCAAGAAAACAAAUUAAAAGUCCUAAGAAGCCUUGAAAUCCCGAAAGAUUUUACAAUUCCCUUCAAUCGGCUCUAAUCUUCCCUCCAAAGAAUAUCAAUGGCAAGAAGAAGGCUGAAGAUGGCUCCCACAAUCAAAAGAUUAUUAAAACAACUUCUAAAGAAAACUCAAAGAGAAUUCUGCACUCAACAAAUAUGAAAUUUUGAUAUAUUUCUAAGUGGUGAAUACAAGGGUGGCCGGCCAUCCUUUAAAUAGGCCUUAAACUAAUCCUAAUCUCAUUAGGAAAAUUUAAAAGUUAAACCUAAUUAAUAAAAAUAAUAGGGAAAUUCGGCUAUGAUACAUGGGUUGCGCGCGGACGAAGAUCGAGUUGCCAAGUCACGAGAAACUCCUAUGAAAGCUCUAGACGAAUCAGAUCUGAAAUCAAAACAAAGUACAAGAUUAAAAGCAAAUCAGAAUUGAAUUGAAAUUCCCCAAAUUCAAUUAAAAGAGCAGCAAGAAACAAAGAAAUAGAAUAAGCGAAUCAAACGGAAUUGAAAGUAUGGAAAGGAUGCGAAUCUGCCAAGGGAUUGAUUCGGCCAAGAAUGCCUAAUUUCCAGCAAUCAAUUGAUCCCCAAAUUGAAAGAGAUCCAAUCGGCCAAACCCUAGGAAUAGGGGAUUUUUGAGAACGACUCUUUGCUACUAAUGAAUGAUGAUUUAAUUCGAUUCUUUGAGUUGAAUAUGGCUGGAAAAACACAAGAAGAACAGCAAAAAAAUGAGAUAAAGAAUCGGCACAAGUAGGAAUAAAGAAAUAAAACGAAACAGCAAGAAAUAAAGAAAAGUCCUAAGAACCCUUGAAUUCCCGAAAGAAUUCACAAAUUCCUUCAAACGGCUCUAAUCUCCCCUCCAAAGAAUAUCGAUGGCAAGAAGAAGGUUGAAGAUGGCUCCCACAAUCAAAAGAUUGUUAAAACAACUUCUAAAGAAAACUCAAGAGAGAAAUCUUGGAGAAAACUCAAAGAAAAUUCUUGAUACGAGUCACAAAGGCCCAACCCAAGCUCAAGAAGGUGAUGGGCUCAAAUCAAGAAAAUCAAGAUUCACUUUCUUGUUUUCAAGAAAGUCAAGAAACUGAAUCUUGGCCUAAUUUUGCUGUUUGGAGCGAUUUCAUGAAUCAAGAAAAUCAAGAUUUCAAAUCUUGGAAAUCUUGGUCCGAGAAAUCGAAUCUUGCAGCCAAAGCGCAUUGGAUCUCCGUUACGAGCAUCAACGACCCAAUUUCGGUAGGAGAUGGAUGGCGAGGCCCAAUAACCAAAUUCCAGCCCAAUCAAGAAAUUCCUUCAUACUUGGUUGAAAAUCAGGCCAAAAUGUCGAAGGGCCCAAUUUAUAAACAUUUUAAUUGUUUAAUUUAAUUUUUUAAGCUUUAGGAACAUACAUGUAAAAUUCAGCCCAAAAACAGCCCAUAUAUAUAUAUGCUUGGCCGAAUUUUCCUUUAUUUAUUCUAUUAAUUAGGUUUAAUUUUAUUAGUUACUUGCUAGAUUAGGAUUACUUGAGGCCUAUUUAAAGGCAUGGCCGGCCACCCCUUGUAAAUAACACUUAGAUUCAUUCUUAAAUUUCAGAUUUGAGAGAGCAGAAUUUUCUUUGAGUUUUCUCCAAGAUUUCUCUCUUGAGUUUUCUUUAGAAGUUUUUUUAACAAUCUUUUGAUUAUGGGAGCCAUCUUCAACCUUCUUCUUGCCAUCGAUAUUCUUUGGAGGGGAGAUUAGAGCCGUUUGAAGAGAUUUGUGAGAUCUUUUGGGAUUUCAAGGAUCUUUAGGACUUAUCUUUUAUUCUUGCUGUUCAAUUUCUUUUCUUUAUUUCUGUUGAUGCCGAAUCUAUAUCUAAUUUCUUUACUAUUUUUGUUUGUGUUUCAGCCUUGAUUCAAACUCCAAGAACUCUUCAUUUAAUCGGUUCUUUUAUUGGCAGCAUCUAAUCGAUUCAAAAUUCCCCAAAAUUUAGGCUUCUUGCCGUUUUCUAUUUCUUCUUGUUGGGUGAAAUUCGACUACUAAAAUUUGAGCAAUUUGAUACGAGUCACAAAGGCCCAACCCAAGUUCAAGAAAGUGAUGGGCUCAAAUUGCCACAAGGCCCAAUAACGAGAUCAAAGGCCUGACAAAUGCAGUCCAAACUAAAUGGGACCAUUCAAGAGUUUGUUAGCAAGGCCUUAGAUGCAUACACGAGAGAACAAGAAAAUCAAGAUUCACUUUCUUGUUUUCAAGAAAAUCAAGAAACCGAAUCUUGGCCCAAUUUUGCUGUUCGAAGAGAUUUCAAGAAUCAAGAAAAUCAAGAUUUCAAAUCUUGGAAAUCUUGGUCCAAGAAACCAAAUCUUGUAGCCAAAAUGCAUUGGAUCUCCGUUACGAGCGUCAACGACCCAAUUUCAAAAGGAGAUGGAUCACGAGCCCAAAUUCUUGAAGGCGAGGCCCAAUAACCAAAUUCCAGCCCAAUCAAGAAAUUCCUUCAUACUUAGUUGAAAAUCAGGCCAAAAUAUCAAAGGGCCCAAUUUAUAAACAUUUUAAUUGUUUAAUUUAAUUUUUUAAGCUUUAGGAACAUACAUGUAAAAUUCGGCCCAAAAACAGCCCAUAUAUAUGCUUGGCCGAAUUUUCCUUUAUUUAUUCUAUUAAUUAGGUUUAAUUUUAUUAGUUACUUGUUAGAUUAGGAUUACUUGAGGCCUAUUUAAAGGCAUGGCCGGCCACCCCUUGUAAAUAACACUUAGAUUUAUUCUUAAAUUUCAGAUUUGAGAGAGCAGAAUUUUCUUUGAGUUUUCUCCAAGAUUUCUCUCUUGAGUUUUCUUUAGAAGUUGUUUUAAAAAUCUUUUGAUUGUGGGAGCCAUCUUCAACCUUAUUCUUGCCAUCGAUAUUCUUUGGAGGGGAGAUUAGAGCCGUUUGAAGAGAUUUGUGAGAUCUUACGGGAUUUCAAGGAUCUUUAGGACUUAUCUUUUAUUCUUGCUGUUCAAUUUCUUUUCUUUAUUUCUGUUGAUGCCGAAUCUAUAUCUAAUUUCUUUGCUGUUUUUGUUUGUGUUUCAGCCUUGAUUCAAACUCCAAGAACUCUUCAUUUAAUCGGUUCUUUUAUUGGCAGCAUCUAAUUGAUUCAAAAUUCCCCAAAAUUUAGGGUUCUUGCCGUUUUCUAUUUCUUCUUGUUGGGUGAAAUUCGGCUGCUGAAAUUUGGGCAAUUCAUCUUGGGUGUUCAAUUGGACCGAAUCGCAACUUAAAUUCACUUCUUGAACCGUUCAAUUUCAUCUAUUUCUUUCUUUUCUUUUUGCCGCCCAAAUCCCUAAUCUUCCAAUUAAAAAUCUGAUUGUUUCAAUCUACUUACUGUUUUGGUGUUCUUGGCAGAUUCGGUUUGUGGGAUUUCACUAUUGGAGUUCGAUUUCAUCUUCUUGAACCCCGAAUACAUUUAUUCAUUCGUUCUUUGUUCCUUUGCUGCUCAUUUAAUUGAAUUUGGGGAUUUAAUUUCAGAUCUGAUUAGUUUAAUCUUGUUCUUUGUUUUAAUUUUUAGAUCUGUUCGUUUAGAGCAUUCGUAGGAGUUUCCCGUGCCUUGGCAACUCGAUCUUGGUCCGCGCGCAACCCCGUAUCAUUUGGUAUCAGAUUUUGGGCGUUUUGGGUGUUCUUGAUUGAUUUCUAAACUGAUCUCGAUUUUUUAAAGCAAAAACAGUAGUUUUACCCAGAAAAAUUGUUCAAAAAAAUUCAUUUAAGUGGGUAAACAUUGUCUACUUUAUCUGAAAUUUUACAUACAUAUUUUUUGCACUGUGAUUGAAUAUAAAAAAUUUAAUCCCGAAAAAAAAUCAGUCAAAAAAGUCAAAAAAAAUCAAAAAAUAUGAAAUUCAAUAAAAAUUUAAAAAAAGAUUCAGCGGGUUGAAUUUGGUGCCCAAACUUUCCAGGUCAAAAAUUGAAUAUAUAAGGACACUCAAGAUUUAGUUUCGUGAUUUUUGGAGAUCGAAAACACCUCGAACGAAGUUGUCAAGUUACUCCGCAGUUUUUCGGGUUUUUCUGUUUUCAGCAAUUUUUAUUGAUUCUUAGCUGUAGGUUUUCAUUUGUUUACCUUUAUUAUUCCUUUACGUUAUCUAACACCUUCUUGUUUCUUAUGUUAGUAGGAUUUACACGUGUGCACAACUUCUUCCUCGGUGCAACACGAAUCAAUUGGUGUCUCGUCAGUUUUUGGCAUCCUAGUGCAAAUUAGGAUUCUUUGGUAGAUCGGUUCAGCCACUAUCUAAUUGGUUGAUAUAAACUCUCCUAAAUGACUCACAAGACUGAAUUCUAGCUCAUUGAGAAUUUGAUUUUCUUUUUGAGUGAUUAACGGUAAGGUUUGCUAACUUUUAUUUUUGAGUGUUGAGUGUUUAUUUUUUGCAGAUUUUUAGAAAAUGUCCAAAGAUGACCAUAAUGAUACACUUAUGAAAGUCCAACAACAAUUAGAUGAACAUGCUGCUGCAAUCACACAAAUAAAUGCUACACUUCAAGCAUUGAAUACUACUUUGAAUGAGGUACGAUUGAAUCAAGAGGUUCAAUCUCAAGAUCCAAUCAAGGAAGAUAGAGAUAACUAGCCCCAUAGGCGCGGCCCUCGACGUGUCCCUAGAAUGGAUGAUGAUUUUCAUGAUCGUGGGCAACCUUCUUUGGCAAAACCAAAGAGUGAGCAGCAACGAUAACAUCUCUUUCAUACUCGCUGCCAUGUACAAGGUAAGCUUUGUAGAGUUAUUAUUGAUGGUGAAAGUUGCUCGAACGUAGCCAGCACGACGAUGGUGGAAAAGCUUUGCUUAACCACUACCAAGCAUCCACAACCUUAUCAACUACAAGAGCUUAGCAACGAAGGUCGAUUUAAGGUCACUCAACAAGUGCGCAUCGCCUUUUCUAUCGGUAAGUAUCAAGACGAAGUUGUGUGCGACGUAAUGCCUAUUCAAGCCUGCCAUUUGUUGCUAGGAGAACCAUGGCAACUGGAUCGAAAAGUCACUCACGAUGGUCAUACCAAUAGGUAUUCUUUCAAGCAUCAAGGAAAGAAACUCACCUUAGUGCCGCUCACUCCGGAACAAGUCCAUGAGGACCAAAUCAAAUUGAAAAAUUCUGUUGUUAAAACAAGUGAGGAAAAAGAAAAAGAGAAUGCAAAAGACCAAAAAUAGAUUGAGAGUGAAAAAGAAUGUGAAACAGAAAAGAAAAUUGAAAAAGAAGUUGAAGAAAGAAGAGAAAAUGAGUUAGAAAAAGAAACAAAAGAAAAAAGACGAGGGAAGGGUAGUGAGGAAUGUUUUCACUAACCAAGAUAUGAAUUUUUCUUUUGUUGCUACUUUUCAGGUUCCUGAAGGACCGAAAGAUAACUUUCAACUUCAAUACCUCUCAAAUGAAAGACGCA
rnacentral:lncRNA from 1 species